UUGAACACAUCAAUUAUUAACGAUCGAUAACUCAAUAAAAAUAUACUACAGGACAAUAUAUCAUUCUAAUAAAUUACUUAACUCAAUUUAAAAAAAAAAAAAACUAUAAUUGUGAAAAUGAUAAAAAGAUUUUUGAGGUGUUAAAAUGGAUAACAACCAAAUAACUCAAUUUAUUUACAGUAGUAGUAUAAUUUUGAGAUGAGGAAGUCAUCCCCUCCGCCAACUCACCACCCAACAAGACAAUAUCUUAGUUUAUAGUUUCCAAAAGUUGACAAACACUUUGCCUCUAGUCUUUAUUCCCGCCAUAAAACAUGCACUUUUACUUCUCAAAAUUUAUAAUUAAGCUACCAAUUACAUACGUGUUGCUCUUCAAUUAGUCUCUCUUGCACUCUCAAACACACACACACUCACACAUAGAGGGAAAGAGAGAUGAAAUCAGCAUCAGACUACAAAGAGAAACAUCAACAGAUACACUUCUUGGCCAAUACAACUUCUCUCUUCUUCUACAUAACAUGUAUAGUUAUAAUCACCAUCUUCUCUCUCCACCUCAUCUUCCACCACACAAACAUCCAAUAC
rnacentral:lncRNA from 1 species